rnacentral:lncRNA from 1 species
CCAGAGUUCUAUAUACCCCUGGCCACACUGAUGAUCACAUGGCUCUACUCUUAGAAGAGGAAAAUGCUAUCUUUUCUGGAGAUUGCAUCCUAGGGGAAGGAACAACGAUAUUUGAAGACCUCUAUGAUUAUAUGAACUCUUUAAAAGAGUUAUUGAAAAUCAAAGCUGAUAUUAUAUAUCCAGGACAUGGCCCAGUAAUUCAUAAUGCUGAAGCUAAAAUUCAACAAUACAUUUCUCACAGAAAUAUUCGAGAGCAGCAAAUUCUUACAUUAUUUCGUGAGAAUUUUGAGAAAUCAUUUACAGUAAUGGAGCUUGUAAAAAUUAUUUACAAGAAUACUCCUGAGAAUUUACAUGAAAUGGCUAAACAUAAUCUCUUACUUCAUUUGAAAAAACUAGAAAAAGAAGGAAAAAUAUUUAGCAACACGGAUCCUGACAAGAAAUGGAAAGCUCAUCUUUAGUUUCAGAUUAAAGAAAGCUUUGUUUUAUUUUGCUUUGAGAGAAUGGUAUGUUUUCUUAACUAUAGGUUAUUUUAUAGAGAAUAUAAAAGUAUAAAACAUUAAAAAUAACCCUAGAUAUACUUUAAAAUAAUGUUAUAUUUAUGCUAAAAUAUGUAAAUUACACUAUACAACCAUAUGAUAGGUUAUUUCUCUAACCUUGUCUUCUAA